AACAAACGCUGGCGGCGUGCCUAACACAUGCAAGUCGUACGAGAAAGGGUCCUUCGGGAUCUGAGUAAAGUGGCGCACGGGUGAGUAACGCGUGGAUAAUCUGCCCCUCAGUUGGGAACAACCCACCGAAAGGUGAGCUAAUACCGAAUAACGCUGCUCAAUGAAAAUUGGGUAGUCAAAGGGUGCCUCUGCUUGCAUGCAUCCGCUGAGGGAUGAGUCCGCGUACCAUUAGCUAGUUGGUAGGGUAAUGGCCUACCAAGGCGACGAUGGUUAGCUGGUCUGAGAGGAUGAUCAGCCACACUGGAACUGAGACACGGUCCAGACUCCUACGGGAGGCAG
rnacentral:rRNA from 1 species